UCGAGAUCACGAGGGGCACGACUUUGGUGGU
rnacentral:piRNA from 1 species